rnacentral:rRNA from 1 species
UACGUAGGUGGCAAGCGUUGUCCGGAUUUACUGGGCGUAAAGGGCGCGUAGGCGGCCUUGCAAGUCGGUUGGUGAAAGCCCGGGGCUCAACCCCGGAGGUGCGGCCGAGACUGCAGGGCUGGAGGCCGGAAGAGGAGGGUGGAAUACCCAGUGUAGAGGUGAAAUUCGUAGAUAUUGGGUGGAACACCGGUGGCGAAAGCGGCUCUCUGGUCCGGACCUGACGCUGAGGCGCGAAAGCGUGGGGAGCAAACAGG